UGUCUAUCCGUGACGCAGUAGUUUUUGAUAUUUUUCUUUUAAAAAUAUUUGAAACUAAACUUUGCCCUUUGAGUAUGUUUAAGACAGGAUUUAGAUCUUUACAAUUAUUCAGAAUACCUGACUGAAACA